AUGGGAACUAAGGAUGUGGGAGGGUGCCUGCAUCCCCUUCUGGCCAGUGUGGGGACAGGACCCUCCCCCGAGACCCUCGGCCUUCAGGGUGAAGGGCUAAGUGCUGAUUGGACCCCGCCUGCCCCACAUUAUGAUGCGGGACCCCACUGUGGGCGGAACUGUGGUGCCCCCGGGCUCCACCGCUGCCUGGUGCCCACUCUGCGUCCGCAGACCUUCGGAGGCACUCGUGCUCCGGAUUUGGCUUGCAGCGACCCGACUCUUCUCUCCCCAGUAGCCCAGUACUCCUCUCUCCUCAGUACCCCAACUCUCCCACUCUCUCCAGUACCCCAGUACUCCCACUCUCCCCAGUACCCCAACCCUCCCACUCUCCCCAGUACCCCAGUGCAUAAAGAGGAGGCGCUCACACAGCGACAGGUCACAGGUGAGUGGCAGCUGAUCCCUGCUCCCCGCGGGCCACAGUGGGGCCUGUGGGUCUGGGUGGGGGCACAGGCCUCCCGGGCUGGGGUCCACAACACCCCGACCCCCCAUGCGAUGACCGUGAGCAGCUCCUACAGCCCUUCCACAGCCCCACGGGGUGAGAGCGGCCAGCGAAGGAGGCUGCAGUCAGAACUCAGGCAGCUCCCCCGGGACCCCCACUCCCCUGUAAGCCCUGUGCUGUGCAGUGACCCAAGCCAUGACCUUUCCAGCCUGUCCUCGAUGCAUGGACCCCGACAGGGGUGGCUGACAUCCCCCCCAUCCCGCCCUGUGCCCCCUGGGUCCCCCUGGCCCAUGAGCAGGCUUGCUCUUCACGCACUGGAACGUGGAGUCCCUCGUGCUCCCCCAGGCUCCCUUCAGGCUAUUCACACAUUGCUGCCCUCAGGGUGGGGAGUUUGGUCACACUAUAGCUGGCAUCAGGUUUUAAUUUUGAUGAAGUCCAGUCCAUCGCUUUCUCCCCUUGGUCGUCGCUUUCUCCCCUUGGUCGUGUGCUUGUGGAAUCUAAGAGAAACCUUUGAUACCCCCACCCCCAAGCCCGCAGGGACACUCGCUGGCCUGCCCACCCACCACCAUCUCUGUGCAGGCCCCGGGCUGGGAGACGUCACCCCCGAGCAUCAGCACGAUGCAGGAGGACCUGGAGACCCUGCUGGCCUUGCAAAGGGCCAAUAUCGUGGCCCAGUACCAUCAGUUUCAAGGAGCUGCCCAGCCCCAGCCCCCGCAAGGCCAAGAAACUCCACCAGGAGACCCGGCACGCCAACAAAUAGAUAA
rnacentral:lncRNA from 1 species